CAAAUGCCUUAGCAAGAUAAGGAAUCCAAGUUGAAGAGAGUUUUAAGUCGGAGAAUAACAAAAGUCAACUUACACGUUGAAAAUUUUGUCCUGUUUGUAGGGGAAGAAUCAGUAAAGGUUUGAAUUUAAGAUCAAAGGGAGCAGCUAGAACACGUUUAAUCCAUGACAGAUAUGAGAACCAAUGUUAAGGAAAUAUCAAUGGGAUUGAAGACAAUUGGGGGCAAUUUGGAAAGACCAGAAGGAGGCUAGGAGCCCACUGCUGCUAGGAGAGAGCAUUCUCUCAGAUGUCAAAGACGUUGACAAAGCCGAUGGUGGGAUAUUCCUGUCUUGUUUCUAGAAGAGCAAGGAGGAAGGCCAAUGAGUCGGAGCAAAGCAAACAGGACGCGGAAUUCCGAGCAGAGUGAAGACACUGAGUGAAAGCUCCGAGGUCAGAGAUGGAACAGCUCAUUCAAGAACUUUCGAUCACACAUUUAGAUAAUUCUCCAUGACUGAGUCACUCUAUCAACACCUUGGAAUUAAAAAGAGAACCUUGGUGUCAACGGCAUAAAUAUUUGCGAUUUCAACUUUUUGAAUAGUUUGCAAAAAUCCAUGCUGGAAUCUUUAAAAGACUAGGCAAGUAUGACACUGACAAAGAAGAAACAAGCAAAAACUAUGCCAGAGGGAGGAUUAAACACACCAUCCUUUUCCAGUGGUACAACACUGUGAUCACACAGCAUUUUGUGAAUAACUUCCAAGACUCUACAAAACUAUUGAGUGCUUCAGCCCCCAUAUCAUGGUUGUAUUUCCUUUUGGCAGCUGUUAUCCUUAUUAGCCUUGUGAUGUUGAUGAUUCUCUGGAUGCUCUUUUUGGCUCAGUUACGUUUUGGCUUAUUCUUCCUCAGGACGAGCCAGAGCCAAGCCAGAGCAGUGACCUCAGAGCAAACCAGGGUAGAAAUUUGUCUGGCUAUUUCAUGGAAUGCAUGCUUAAUAACUACCAUAUUUUAAAAGCAUAGAAAUAAUAACAAUUUAAAGUUUUGUAA
rnacentral:lncRNA from 1 species